UGGGGAAUAUUGGACAAUGGGCGAAAGCCUGAUCCAGCCAUGCCGCGUGUGUGAAGAAGGCCUUUUGGUUGUAAAGCACUUUAAGUGGGGAGGAAAAGCUUAUGGUUAAUACCCAUAAGCCCUGACGUUACCCACAGAAUAAGCACCGGCUAACUCUGUGCCAGCAGCCGCGGUAAUACAGAGGGUGCAAGCGUUAAUCGGAAUUACUGGGCGUAAAGCGCGCGUAGGUGGUUAUUUAAGUCAGAUGUGAAAGCCCCGGGCUUAACCUGGGAACUGCAUCUGAUACUGGAUAACUAGAGUAGGUGAGAGGGGAGUAGAAUUCCAGGUGUAGCGGUGAAAUGCGUAGAGAUCUGGAGGAAUACCGAUGGCGAAGGCAGCUCCCUGGCAUCAUACUGACACUGAGGUGCGAAAGCGUGGGUAGCAAACAGGAUUAGAUACCCUGGUAGUCCACGCCGUAAACGAUGUCUACCAGUCGUUGGGUCUUUUAAAGACUUAGUGGCGCAGUUAACGCAAUAAGUAGACCGCCUGGGGAGUACGGCCGCAAGGUUA
rnacentral:rRNA from 1 species